AAUAGAUACCCAGGUAGUCCACGCCGUAAACGGUGGGUACUAGGUGUGGGUUCUUUCCUAAGGAUCCGUGCCGUAGCUAACGCAUUAAGUACCCCGCCUGGGGAGUACGGCCGCAAGGCUAAAACUCAAAGGAAUUGACGGGGGGCCCGCACAAGCGGCGGAGCAUGUGGAUUAAUUCGAUGCAACGCGAAGAACCUUACCUGGGUUUGACAUGCACAGGACGCGUCUAGAGAUAGGCGUUCCCUUUGGGCCUGUGUGCAGGUGGUGCAUGGCUGUCGUCAGCUCGUGUCGUGAGAUGUUGGGUUAAGUCCCGCAACGAGCGCAACCCUUGUCCCAUGUUGCCAGCGGGUGAUGCCGGGGACUCAUGGGAGACUGCCGGGGUCAACUCGGAGGAAGGUGGGGAUGACGUCAAGUCAUCAUGCCCCUUAUGUCCAGGGCUUCACACAUGCUACAAUGGCCGGUACAAAGGGCUGCGAAGCCGUGAGGUGGAGCGAAUCCCUGCAAAGCCGGUCUCAGUUCGGAUCGGGGU
rnacentral:rRNA from 1 species